rnacentral:rRNA from 1 species
AAUGGACUGCUCAGUAAUACUCACUUUAUUUUAUGUAAAUUUUUAAUUAACUACGUUAAAGUGUAGAUAAGAUGUUUACAGUAAGAGUGAGACCUAUCAGCUAGUUGUUAAGGUAAUGGCUUAACAAGGCUGUGACGGGUAACGGUAUUACUUUGUAAUAUUCCGGAGAAGGAGCCUGAGAGACGGCUACUAAGUCUAAGGAUUGCAGCAGGGGCGAAACUUGACCUAUGGAUUUUAUYUGAGGCAGUUAUGGGAAGUAAUAUUAUAUUGUUUCAUAUUUUAAAAGUAUAUGAGGUGAUUAAUUGGAGGGCAAAUCAAGUGCCAGCAGCCGCGGUAAUACUUGUUCCAAGAGUGUGUAUGAUGAUUGAUGCAGUUAAAAAGUCCGUAGUUUAUUUUU